rnacentral:rRNA from 1 species
GGAUUGAACGCUGGCGGCAGGCCUAACACAUGCAAGUCGAGCGGUAGAGAGGUGCUUGCAUCUCUUGAGAGCGGCGGACGGGUGAGUAAUGCCUAGGAAUCUGCCUAGUGGUGGGGGAUAGCGUUCGGAAACGGACGCUAAUACCGCAUACGUCCUACGGGAGAAAGGCGGGGGACCUUCGGGCCUCGCGCCAUUAGAUGAGCCUAGGUCGGAUUAGCUAGUUGGUGAGGUAAUGGCUCACCAAGGCGACGAUCCGUAACUGGUCCCUGAGAGGAUGAUCAGUCACACUGGAACUGAGACACGGUCCAGAC